rnacentral:ncRNA from 1 species
CAAAAGCCUGGUCCUGGCUUUACUGUCUGCCCUAACCAAGUUUAUACAUGCAAGUAUCCGCACCCCCGUGAGAAUGCCCUCAACAUCCUACCCGAAAGCGAGGAGCAGGUAUCAGGCACACUCAAAUGUAGCCCAAAACGCCUUGCUAGGCCACACCCCCAAGGGAACUCAGCAGUAAUAAAUAUUAGGCCAUAAGUGAAAACUUGACCUAACUACGGUUAACAGGGCCGGUAAAACUCGUGCCAGCCACCGCGGUCAUACGAGUGCGCCCAAGUGGACAGCCAACGGCGUAAAGUGUGGUUAGGGGCCCAACAAACAACUAAAGCAGAACCACCUCCCGGCCGUCAUACGCUUCUGACAGCGUGAAACCCUCCCACGAAAGUGGCUUUAACCUGCCCGAACCCACGAGAGCUAAGAAACAAACUGGGAUUAGAUACCCCACUAUGCCUAGCCGUAAACAUUGAUAGACUGACCACAACAUCUAUUCGCCCGGGAAUUACAAGCAUUAGCUUCAAACCCAAAGGACUUGGCGGCGCUUUAGACCCACCUAGAGGAGCCUGUCCUAGAACCGAUUUUCCCCGUUCAACCUCACCACUUCUUGCCCAAUCCGCCUAUAUACCACCGUCGUCAGCUUACCCUGUGAAGGUCCAACAGUAAGCUUAGCCGGCACCGCCCAAAACGUCAGGUCGAGGUGUAGCGCACGAAGUGAGCAAGAGAUGGGCUACAUUUUCUGACCCAGAAAAUUUACGAAAGAAGAAAUGAAAAAACUUCCGAAGGAGGAUUUAGCAGUAAUCAGGGAACAGAGCGCCCUGCUGAAACUGGCCCUUAAGCGCGUACAUACCGCCCGUCACUCUCCCCAAGUCUUCCUAUACUUACCCUAUAACAUAAUCUUGAUAAAGGGGAGGCAAGUCGUAACAUGGUAAGUGUACCGGAAGGUGCACUUGGAUAAAA